AACGAACGCUGGCGGCAUGCCUAACACAUGCAAGUCGAACGAGAGCUUCGGCUCUAGUGGCGCACGGGUGCGUAACGCGUGGGAAUCUGCCCUUGGGUUCGGAAUAACAGUUGGAAACGACUGCUAAUACCGGAUGAUGACGUAAGUCCAAAGAUUUAUCGCCCUGGGAUGAGCCCGCGCCGGAUUAGCUAGUUGGUGGGGUAAAGGCCUACCAAGGCGACGAUCCGUAGCUGGUCUGAGAGGAUGAUCAGCCACACUGGGACUGAGACACGGCCCAGACUCCUACGGGAGGCAGCAGUGGGGAAUAUUGGACAAUGGGCGCAAGCCUGAUCCAGCAAUGCCGCGUGAGUGAUGAAGGCCUUAGGGUUGUAAAGCUCUUUUACCCGGGAAGAUAAUGACUGUACCGGGUGAAUAAGCCCCGGCUAACUCCGUGCCAGCAGCCGCCGUAA
rnacentral:rRNA from 1 species